UACGAAGGGAGCUAGCGUUGUUCGGAAUCACUGGGCGUAAAGCGCACGUAGGCGGAUGUGUCAGUCAGGGGUGAAAGUCCCGGAGCUCAACUUCGGAACUGCCUUUGAUACAGCACAUCUGGAGUCCGGAAGAGGUGGGUGGAAUUCCUAGUGUAGAGGUGAAAUUCGUAGAUAUUAGGAAGAACACCGGUGGCGAAGGCGGCCCACUGGUCCGGUACUGACGCUGAGGUGCGAAAGCGUGGGGAGCAAACAGG
rnacentral:rRNA from 1 species